ACUCCUACGGGAGGCAGCAGUGGGGAAUAUUGCACAAUGGGCGAAAGCCUGAUGCAGCGACGCCGCGUGAGGGAUGACGGCCUUCGGGUUGUAAACCUCUUUCAGCAGGGACGAAGCGCAAGUGACUGUACCUGCAGAAGAAGCACCGGCUAACUACGUGCCAGCAGCCGCGGUAAUACGUAGGGUGCGAGCGUUGUCCGGAAUUAUUGGGCGUAAAGAGCUUGUAGGUGGCUCGUUGCGUCGGGAGUGAAAACCCGCGGCUUAACCGCGGGCCUGCUUCCGAUACGGGCGAGCUAGAGUUCGGCAGGGGAGACUGGAAUUCCUGGUGUAGCGGUGGAAUGCGCAGAUAUCAGGAGGAACACCGGUGGCGAAGGCGGGUCUCUGGGCCGAUACCGACACUGAGAAGCGAAAGCGUGGGGAGCGAACAGGAUUAGAUACCCUGGUAGUCCACGCCGUAAACGUUGGGAACUAGGUGUGGGGUCCAUUCCACGGGCUCUGUGCCGCAGCUAACGCAUUAAGUUCCCCGCCUGGGGAGUACGGCCGCAAGGCUAAAACUCAAAGGAAUUGACGGGGGCCCGCACAAGCGGCGGAGCAUGUGGCUUAAUUCGAUGCAACGCGAAGAACCUUACCUGGGCUUGACAUGUUCGGUCUACCUGCAGAGAUGUGGGGUGCUUUUGCGCCGUUCACAGGUGGUGCAUGGUUGUCGUCAGCUCGUGUCGUGAGAUGUUGGGUUAAGUCCCGCAACGAGCGCAACCCUCGUUCCAUGUUGCCAGCGCGUUAUGGCGGGGACUCAUGGGAGACUGCCGGGGUCAACUCGGA
rnacentral:rRNA from 1 species